GAUGAACGCUGGCGGCGUGCUUAACACAUGCAAGUCGAGCGAAGCACAUAAGUUUGAUUCUUCGGAUGAAGACUUUUGUGACUGAGCGGCGGACGGGUGAGUAACGCGUGGGUAACCUGCCUCAUACAGGGGGAUAACAGUUAGAAAUGGCUGCUAAUACCGCAUAAGACCACAGUACUGCAUGGUACAGUGGUAAAAACUCCGGUGGUAUGAGAUGGACCCGCGUCUGAUUAGCUAGUUGGUGAGGUAAAGGCCCACCAAGGCGACGAUCAGUAGCCGACCUGAGAGGGUGAUCGGCCACAUUGGGACUGAGACACGGCCCAA
rnacentral:rRNA from 1 species